UUAUGGAAAUUCUAUGAAGAGAUUCUGGUAUUUUACUUCUCUUUGAAGCUUUAGGUGAUGUAACUUGUUUAUUUGUCUUCAAAUUCUCACAUGGUCUUACUUGAAAGGAAUCAUUGACUCUAUCAGAAGUUAUUCCGCUACUUCUGCCUUUACUGCUUGAAACAGUUCUUUGUGAGCUAGUACGAGUCAGUGAAGACGAGCCAUUGAAAUGGGAGGAUGUGGAUCUGCAUCAAUGCUAGUGGUGUGAGUAAAUACUUGGAGUUCUAAAACAACAGGCUUAGACCCCAAUCCAGGAAAUUAAGAAGUGGACUAUUAGCAAAAUUCUUCAUAGAGAAGAAGGUGAGAUCAUUUCACUUUUUUCAUCCUAGCUUCUUAGUACUAUCUUAUUAACAUUGGUUGAUAAUUCUAAUUUACUUUCGGCAAUGAUAUAUGAAAUUCAUUCCCCCUGGAAAAAUGGAAGCCUUAAGUGACAUUUUCCGAAAUGGAACUUGUUGAGAUUCUGUUGCAUCUAAACCAUGGAUGAAAAUUAUGCAAUAAAUGUCACAGGCCUUGCUUACUUUUUCUGUCUUAACUCUCAAGGUCUAAGACAUCAUGGUGAUAUAUUUCAGUAGUUCUAAUGUUGAUACUCAUAUAGUGGGCCUAGGAACUUAGGGAGAUGUUAGUUUUGACUUUGCAUCAGUUAAUUAAUAGCCCACCAAGAAGAAAUGUGGUAUAUUUCAUGUUACCUGCUCCUGCUUAUGUCUUCAAUCUCUGAGUUAUCAUAUGUACGUGUGGACAGAAGCGCUUUCAGAUGCUGUGACUUGUGUGGGUUUGUGCUUUUGCUGUCUUCGGAUUUCUGAGACCUGCUUGCUAAUCGGGAAGCCUGAACUUUUCCUUUCAAUAUGACAUAUACUCCACAAGAUUCUGGUGCAAGUUUGAGCAAGCUGG
rnacentral:lncRNA from 1 species